rnacentral:rRNA from 1 species
UGGGGAAUAUUGCACAAUGGGCGCAAGCCUGAUGCAGCCAUGCCGCGUGUGUGAAGAAGGCCUCGGUUGUAAGCACUUUCAGCGAGGAGGAAGGUGGUGAGCUUAAUACGCUCAUCAAUUGACGUUACUCGCAGAAGAAGCACCGGCUAACUCCGUGCCAGCAGCCGCGGUAAUACGGAGGGUGCAAGCGUUAAUCGGAAUUACUGGGCGUAAAGCGCACGCAGGCGGUUUGUUAAGUCAGAUGUGAAAUCCCCGGGCUCAACCUGGGAACUGCAUUUGAAACUGGCAAGCUAGAGUCUCGUAGAGGGGGGUAGAAUUCCAGGUGUAGCGGUGAAAUGCGUAGAGAUCUGGAGGAAUACCGGUGGCGAAGGCGGCCCCCUGGACGAAGACUGACGCUCAGGUGCGAAAAGCGUGGGGCAGCAAACAGGAUUAGAUACCCUGGUAGUCCAGCGCUGUAAAACGAUGUCGAUUUUGGAGGUUGUGCCCUUGAGGCGUGGCUUCCGGAGCUAACGCGUUAAAUCGACCGCCUGGGGAGUACGGCCGCAAGGUUAAAACUCAAAGGAAUUGACGGGGUCAUAGCUGUUUCCU